GUGCACCAGGCGCGAAACUUCACACUGUGCGAAAGCACGAUGAGGGAAUCCCAAGUGCUUGCACGUAAGUGUAAGCUGUUUCUCUGUCUAAAACGCAGAGAGAGUAAGGGCUGGGUAAGACGGGUGCCAGCCGCCGCGGUAAUACCUGCAGCUCAAGUGGUGACCGUUAUUAUUGGGCCUAAAACGUCCGUAGCCGGUUUAAUAAAUGCCUGGGUAAAUUGUGUAGCUUAACUAUACGAAUUCCGGGUAGACUGUUAAACUUGAGACCGGGAGAAGUUAGAGGUACUCCUGGGGUAGAGGUGAAAUUCUGUAAUCCUAGGGGGACCACCAGUGGCGAAGGCGUCUAACUAGAACGGGUCUGACGGUGAGGGACGAAGCCCUGGGGCGCAAACGGGAUUAGAUACCCCUGUAGU
rnacentral:rRNA from 1 species